rnacentral:rRNA from 1 species
UACGUAGGCAGCGAGCGUUGUUCGGAAUCACUGGGCGUAAAGCGCACGUAGGCGGAUGUGCCAGUCAGGGGUGAAAUCCCGGAGCUCAACUCCGGAACUGCCUCUGAUACAGCACGUCUUGAGUUCGAGAGAGGUGGGUGGAAUUCCUAGUGUAGAGGUGAAAUUCGUAGAUAUUAGGAAGAACACCGGUGGCGAAGGCGGCCCACUGGCUCGAUACUGACGCUGAGGUGCGAAAGCGUGGGGAGCAAACAGG